rnacentral:tRNA from 1 species
GCUGGUGUAGCUCAACCGGUAGAGCUCCUGUUUUGUAAACAGGGGGUUAGGGGUUCGAGUCCCCUCGCCAGCCCCA